rnacentral:rRNA from 1 species
UGGGGAAUAUUGGACAAUGGGGGAAACCCUGAUCCAGCGACGCCGCGUGUGUGAAGAAGGCCUGCGGGUUGUAAAGCACUUUUAGUGGGGACAAAAAGCUACGGAUUAAUACUCUGAGGUCUUGAUUUAACCCAAAGAAAAAGCACCGGCUAACUCUGUGCCAGCAGCCGCGGUAAUACAGAGGGUGCGAGCGUUAAUCGGAAUUACUGGGCGUAAAGCGCGCGUAGACGGUUUUGUAAGUCAGAUGUGAAAUCCCUGGGCCCAACCUGGGAACUGCAUUUGAGACUGCAUGGCUAGAGUAUCGAAGAGGGAAGUGGAAUUUCCGGUGUAGCGGUGAAAUGCGUAGAUAUCGGAAGGAACACCAGUGGCGAAAGCGACUUCCUGGUCGAAUACUGACGUUCAUGUGCGAAAGCGUGGGGAGCAAACAGGAUUAGAUACCCUGGUAGUCCACGCCAUAAACGAUGACAACUAGAUGUUGGGAGGGUCUGCCUCUCGGUGUCGCAGCUAACGCGAUAAGCAAUCCGCCUGGGGAGUACGGUCGCAAGGCUG